AGAGUUUGAUCCUGGCUCAGGACGAACGCUGGCGGCGUGCCUAAUGCAUGCAAGUCGCACGCAGCACCUUCGGGUGCUGAGUGGCGCACGGCUGAGGAACACGUGGGAACCUGCCUUCCAGUGGGGGACAACAGCGCGAAAGCGGUGCUAAUCCCGCAUACGCUCGCCUGUGGCGAGGAAAGCGGCAACGCGCUGGAAGGGGGGCUCGCGGCCCAUCAGGUAGUUGGUGCGGUAACGGCCCACCAAGCCGGUGACGGGUAGCUGGUCUGUGAGGAUGACCAGCCAGACUGGGACUGAGACACGGCCCAGACUCCUACGGGAGGCAGCAGCAAGGAAUUUUCCGCAAUGGGCGCAAGCCUGACGGAGCAACGCCGCGUGCAGGACGACGGCCUUCGGGUUGUAAACUGCUUUUCAGGGGGAUGACAGCGACAGUACCCCUGGAACAAGGCUCGGCUAACUCUGUGCCAGCAGCCGCGGUAAGACAGAGGAGCCAAGCGUUGUCCGGACUGACUGGGCGUAAAGCGCACGCAGGUGGUCGCGCAAGUGUCGUGUGAAAGCGACCCGCUUAACGGGUCGAGGUCAGGGCAAACUGCGCGACUGGAGUGGUGCAGAGGCCAGUGGAAUUGCCGGUGUAGUGGUGAAAUGCGUAGAGAUCGGCAGGAACACCCAGGGGGAAACCAGCUGGCUGGGCACGCACUGACACUGAGGUGCGACAGCGUGGGGAGCGAACCGGAUUAGAUACCCGGGUAGUCCACGCCGUAAACGAUGGACACUUGCCAUCUGGGGGUAACCAGUCCCCUGGGUGGCUGAGCUAACGCGGAAGUGUCCCGCCUGGGAACUACGAGCGCAAGCUUAAAACUCAAAGGAAUUGACGAGGGGCCCGCACAAGCAGCGGAGCGUGUGGUUUAAUUCGACGCAACGCGCAGAACCUUACCCAGACUUGACAUGCAGCUGCACGCCCACGAAAGUGGGUCGCCUUCGAGGGUGCUGCACCGGUGCUGCAUGGCUGUCGUCAGCUCGUGUCGUGAGAUGUUGGGUUAAGUCCCGCAACGAGCGCAACCCCUACGGUCAGUUAUUGGUGUCUGACCGGACUGCCCUUCGGGGAGGAAGGCGGGGAUGACGUCAAGUCCGCAUGGCCCUUACGUCUGGGGCGACACACACGCUACAAUGGGGGCGCCAGCGCGCUGCGACCCGGCAACGGGGAGCUAAUCGCCAACCGUCCCCCCAGUGCAGAUCGGGGGCUGCAACUCGCCCCCGUGAAGGCGGAGUUGCUAGUAACCGCGUAUCAGCCAUGGCGCGGUGAAUACGUACCCGGGCCUUGUACACACCGCCCGUCACGUCAUGGGAGUUGGCAAGGCCUGAAGUCCGUGGGCUGACCGCCCGCAAGGGUGGAGGCAGCGGCCGAGGGCCGGGCCAGCGACUGGGACGAAGUCGUAACAAGGUAACCG
rnacentral:rRNA from 1 species